CAGCCGCGCGGUAAUACCGGCGGCCCGAGUGGCGGUCACUAUUAUUGGGCUUAAAGCGUCCGUAGCCGGGUUGGGAAGUCCUCCGGGAAAUCUGGCCGCUUAACGGUCAGAAUGCCGGAGGAUACUCCCAGCCUAGGGAGCGGGAGAGGCCGAGGGGAUUCCCGGAGUAGGGGUGAAAUCCUAUAAUCCCGGGAGGACCACCUGUGGCGAAGGCGCUCGGCUGGAACGCGUCCGACGGUGAGGGACGAAGGCCAGGGGAGCAAACCGGAUUAGAUACCCGGGUAGUCCUGGCUGUAAACGAUGCGGACUUUGUGUCGGACAAGCUAUGAGCUUGUCCGGUGCCGGAGGGAAACCGUUAAGUCCGCCGCCUGGGGAGUACGGCCGCAAGGCUGAAACUUAAAGGAAUUGGCGGG
rnacentral:rRNA from 1 species